GUACGAGAGGACCGGAGUGGACGUACCUCUGGUGUUCCAGUUGUCAUGCCAAUGGCAUUGCUGGGUAGCUAUGUACGGACGGGAUAACCGCUGAAAGCAUCUAAGCGGGAAGCCCCCCUCAAGAUUAGGUUUCUCUGGACCCUCGAGGUCCCUGAAGGGUCGUCGAAGACUACGACGUUGAUAGGCGGGGUGUGGAAGUGCAGUAAUGCAUUAAGCUAACCCGUACUAAUUGCCCGUGAGGCUUGAUCAU
rnacentral:rRNA from 1 species